AUUUGGAAAGGUGAUAGGUGCAAAAGAGCAGGUGGUUGCUGGCACUAUGUACUACAUCACGCUGGAGGCAACUGAUGGUGGGAAGAAAAAGGUUUAUGAAAAAAAAUUUGGGUGAAGCCAUGGCAGAACUUCAAACAGGUGCAAGAGUUAAAGCUCGUUGGUGAUGCCCCUUCUGAGUCUUCUAGCUAGGUUAAUGAAGAUUCUAGGUGGCUAGCUUGGCUUGAAGGUGGAGUUAUUAGGAUGUCAAAAGUAUGAUAUAUAAGGAAUAAAAGUAGCUAAUUGAUUACCAUCUGGAUUUAUAUUCAAGCCUUUACUUAUUAUGGAAGAUGGAUGCUUUUGUAAUCUUUUUAUAAAUUCAAGUACAAGAAAUAUGGUGUAUUAUGUAUUAAUAUUUAUAACUGAUGCUCCUUGUGAAGCAAGAAAUUGAGGACGACUUGAAAAUGCCUAUAUUAGGGGCCGCUUCUAAAGGGCACCAUCCAUAUCAUCAUCUCUAGUGUUGAUUAUAUGUAUAUUUUUUUUUUUUUAGGAAAAUCCAUAUCCGUAUUUCAUUUGUAAUCUCAAAUUUUGUAACAAGUCAUAUUAUGUACAAGUCACACACAGCAUUGCUCAA